rnacentral:rRNA from 1 species
AACGCGAAGAACCUUACCUAGGUUUGACAUCACCCGGAAACCUCUAGAGAUAGAGGCCUCUUCGGACUGGGUGACAGGUGGUGCAUGGCUGUCGUCAGCUCGUGUCGUGAGAUGUUGGGUUAAGUCCCGCAACGAGCGCAACCCUUAUCCCGUGUUGCCAGCAUUCAGUUGGGGACUCACGGGAGACUGCCGGGGUUAACUCGGAGGAAGGUGGGGAUGAGGUCAAGUCAUCAUGCCCCUUAUGUCUAGGGCUUCACGCAUGCUACAUUGGCCGGUACAGCGGGUUGCGAUACCGUGAGGUGGAGCGAAUCCCUGUAAAGCCGGUCUUGGUUCGGAUUCGAGUCUGCAACUCGACUCGAUGAAGGUGGAGUCGCUAGUAAUCGCAGAUCAGCAACGCUGCGGUGAAUGCGUUCCCGGGCCUUGUACACACCG